rnacentral:rRNA from 1 species
UGGGGAAUUUUGGACAAUGGGCGCAAGCCUGAUCCAGCCAUGCCGCGUGCGGGAAGAAGGCCUUCGGGUUGUAAACCGCUUUUGUCAGGGAAGAAAUCUUCUGAGUUAAUACCUCGGGAGGAUGACGGUACCUGAAGAAUAAGCACCGGCUAACUACGUGCCAGCAGCCGCGGUAAUACGUAGGGUGCAAGCGUUAAUCGGAAUUACUGGGCGUAAAGCGUGCGCAGGCGGUUUUGUAAGACAGAGGUGAAAUCCCCGGGCUCAACCUGGGAACUGCCUUUGUGACUGCAAGGCUUGAGUGCGGCAGAGGGGGAUGGAAUUCCGCGUGUAGCAGUGAAAUGCGUAGAUAUGCGGAGGAACACCGAUGGCGAAGGCAAUCCCCUGGGCCUGCACUGACGCUCAUGCACGAAAAGCGUGGGGAGCAAAACAGGAUUAGAUACCCUGGUAGUCCACGCCCUAAACGAUGUCAACUGGUUGUUGGGAAGGUUCCUUCUCAGUAACGUAGCUAACGCGUGAAGUUGACCGCCUGGGGAGUACGGCCGCAAGGUU